rnacentral:rRNA from 1 species
AUUGAACGCUGGCGGCGUGGAUUAGGCAUGCAAGUCGUGCGGAAGUGGCCCGCAAGGGUUACUUUAGCGGCGAAAGGGAGAGUAAUACGUAGGUACCUACCCCUGGAACCGGGAUAGCUGCGGGAAACUGCAGGUAAUACCGGAUAACGUCUCCGGACCAAAGGUGUGAUUCCGUCCGGGGAGGGGCCUGCGUCCUAUUAGCUCGUUGGUGAGGUGAUGGCUCACCAAGGCAAAGAUGGGUACGGGGUAUGAGAGUAUGCCCCCGCUCACUGGGACUGAGACACUGCCCAGACACCUACGGGUGGCUGCAGUCGAGGAUCUUCGGCAAUGGGCGCAAGCCUGACCGAGCGACGCCGCGUGUGGGAUGAAGGCCCUCGGGUUGUAAACCACUGUCAGAGGGGAUGAAGUGCCAUAGGGUUCUCUCUAUGGUUUGACAUAUCCUCAGAGGAAGGACGGGCUAAGUUCGUGCCAGCAGCCGCAGUAACAC